rnacentral:misc_RNA from 1 species
AAAAGCUCUAUGCCAUCUAUUACACCAGCAAGACACUUGAUAACGCACAAAUCAAUUAUGCUACCACAAAAAGGAAUUUCUAGCAGUAGUGUUUGUAAUUGACAAAUUCAGAUCUUACUUAAUUGGGUCAAAAGUCAAUGUAUUCACAGAUCAUGUUGCCAUCCGGUACCUUUUGAACAAGAAGGCGGCGAAACUAAGGCUGAUUCGAUGGAUUUUACUCCUGUAAGAAUUUAACGUUGAAAUCAAGGACAAAAAUGGAUCCGAAAAUAUAGUAGCUGACCAUCUCUCUAGGCUUAAACUGGAA